UGAAUUAAACAAUACUCUGACUAACCAGAAUGUUAAGGUGUAUAAAAUUACAUUAAAAUAUAUACUGGAAUAAUGUUUAUAUUAAUUAUGCAUGAGCCAUUAUAGAACAUUUAGUAUCAGUAUUUUGGACCUGUUACUAGUUAACAAAGUAGAUAGAAGGAUCAUAAUUUUGGUACUUAGCCAUUUUUGUAUAAUCGGUUUACAUUUCUAUCAAUCUGUUAUUUACUAUUGAGUUGUUUCUUUUCAAUUACUAUUUACUGUUUGGAAAAGACUUAGUAACGUUUCUAACUAGAGUUUUGAUUAUUAUAAAUUAAUCAUUGAAUAAAUAUGUUAAUAUAGGUUAUUUCUACGCGUUUGGUAUCUAAAAAGUGUUGAUGUUGGUAACUAUGAUUGUGAAAUCAAAUCAAUUCAAUGGAUUGUCAUAAAUAAUUAUUAUUCAAGCCACAGUUUGCCAAUUACUACUUGAUGAACAGUUAUUUUAUCCAAUACGAAUAGUCUUCAUUUUGUAAUCGAAGUACCAGUUAUAUUUUGUUUUAUGUGACACCUUACCUACAUUGAAUAUCAUCAAUUUGUCUACUAAAAGAUAAAUAGCUUUUGCUUUGCAACAAUUAAAGAGAUAAAUAUAUGUUUUUGCUUUGCAGAUAAAUAUAUUUAAUGCUUUGAAAUUAAUCAUUUUCUUAUACAGGUUUUAUUACAUUGAAAAUUAUUCUUUUCUAUUAAUAAGUCAUGUUACACAAUAUCGAUCGUUUUUACAAAGAUCAAGGGCAUACAGCCUCGUGGUAUUAUUUUAAUUUGCACAAUUUUUAUGGUCGUUCUUGGAAUAUUGGCCAGUGAAUCAUUCGCUGGUAAUUUUGAAGAAUAAUUUACACCAGGCCUUUAAUGUUAUUGUUAUUGUAUUCGAGAGGGGCUCAGGUAAGUGAAUCAUCUCUCGAGGAUUUAUUCAAACCGUUUCACUGUUACAGGCUGGGAGAGACCGUUCGCUUGUGCCUGCGGACGAAGGUACAAGAAUAAGCGACACCUUCGGCAACACCAGCGACUCGAGUGCAACAAGGAACCGAGAUAUUCUUGUACCAUGUGUCCUUACAGGGCGAAGCGGCCAGGAGCUCUCAACUCACACGUGGUCUUGCGCCACUGUAAACGUUCCAGUGAGGGCUGAGGGAUCUCGGUAACAGUCCCUCACCAGCGACGACCGCCGGUAACAAGUUCCUCUGUACCUGCGGCAGAAGCUACAAGUACAAACAAGGACUGGCCGAACACCAGAGAUACGAGUGCGGGAAGGAACCGAUGUUCCAGUGUUCCUUCUGUCCGUACCGGGCCAAGAAGAGAAACAACUUUAAAGCUCAUGUAGUGAUGAGACAUGCGGAACAGCUGACUGGAUCAUUCGGCUGAGACAAAUCAGUGUGGACAUUGUGAUGAAAUAAGUUUUCAGAUCAUUGAAAAUUUGAGUUUGUUCUUUUCAGAAUGUAUAGAAUAAAUUUACUCUGAAUUUAUUACCUUCAGAAUUAAACGUUGUACAAGCAUUGUA